UGUGAUAUCUACGGAGGCCAUAAAGGAGCAGAAUUGAAGUGAAUAAUUAGAAAGAAGAAUCUGCUACAGACGAUGACAAACCACACCAGAGAUUUUUUAGCAUGGACCGACAAUGAGGUGGAACUGGUGCUGAAAGUAACACGGGAGUACAAGGCGACUGUGGUGGCAGAAAACAGACUGGGAGUCAUCGCAAAGACUGGUGACCCUCGUUGUAGCAUUACUCUCAACUAAAGCUUGUAUCUCAAACGACUGAGGUUUUUUAAAUCUCACUGAGACUAACUGGAUAAGAAGAGAGGAUCCUCGUAGACUGGAUCCGUAAUAUACUCCUCAGAUGAGGAGACACUGAAGGCAUCACUCUCACUCAGACCUCCAGGCCUGCUCUGGAUGUUUCCACAUUCAUUGUGACCAAAUCCAAAGUGACAUGAAAUCCAAAGACUUUGUGUACAACAAACAGCGGAUGGUGGGAUAUAGAUUCUAGUUUGUCAUACCCGCCAGCCUCCUUCUGGUUUCAGUCUCUCCAGCAGAUGUUGAACCUGUUGAUCAGGUCUGGCUCACAGUCGGUGUUCAAGUUCCCCCGAAACAUGAUGGAUGGGGUUGAGGUCGGGGGCUCUGUGCAGAGCAGUCAAGCUCUUCACCAUUUCUUUAUGGAGCUGCUUUGGGUUUCCCAUCAUUGGAACUAAGAGGCCCAAACCGGGAAAACCCGACCCAGACCAAGAGUACACAUAGAAAGUGUUGUCCACAUACUUUGGGCCAUACAGCAUUUAUUUAUAGUUUAUGUUUGACUGUCAGAGACUGUAGAAGGACACCAGUCUUCACUUCACCUUCUCAGAAGUUCAGUGCAGUGUGGAUGUGGCCUUUCCCCUCCCAGGCCCCUCCUCCUUCCCCCGAAGCCCCUCCCUCCUGGAGGAGGCGGGUCAGGAUUUUAAGGAGACGCUGAUGGACGCCCCUGCUCUGACCCGUCUCAUCGUCUUCUCUCUGCUCCACGCCUCCUACUGUUUCCGAACACUCUUGCACCGCUCUCUGCAGCUCCACCUGUUCAAAAAACCCACAGAAGACAGUUUGAGACCGACCUAAUUCAUCUACAACCACACCUUGUUCUCCUCCUGUGUUUUUGCAAAGAGAAACAGAGCAUUAUUAGAGCAAGUAUAAUUUAAACAAACAACUGAAUUCUACCCUUUUGUAUUGUCUGCAUUUGAGCUGCCUCGACUAAAUUCCACUGUUGAUAGAUUAAAUAAGAAGUACUUAAGUUGAUUAUUGUCUUUUAUUUGUUUAUAUGAAAUUUUUUUUUAAAUAAAGUACAUUAAUAAAUAAUACAGGUAAUACAAAUUAUAUGUAUAAAUACAUAUAAAUAAAAUAGAAUAAAAGUAU